CCUACGGGAGGCAGCAGUGGGAAAUAUUGUACAAUGGGCGCAAGCCUGAUCCAGCAAUCCCGGGUGUGUGAAGAAGGCAUUCAGGUUGUAAAGCACUUUUAUCGGGAGCGAAAUACCAUCGGUUAAUACCCGGUGGGGCUGACGGUACCCGAGGAAUAAGCACCGGCUAACUUCGUGCCAGCAGCCGCGGUAAUACGAAGGGUGCAAGCGUUAAUCGGAAUUACUGGGCGUAAAGGGUGCGUAGGCGGUUUGUUAAGUCUGUUGUGAAAUCCCCGGGCUCAACCUGGGAAUGGCAAUGGAUACUGGCAAGCUAGAGUGUGUCAGAGGAUGGUGGAAUUUCCGGUGUAGCGGUGAAAUGCGUAGAGAUCGGAAGGAACAUCAGUGGCGAAGGCGGCCAUCUGGGACAACACUGACGCUGAAGCACGAAAGCGUGGGGAGCAAACAGGAUUAGAUACCCUGGUAGUCCACGCCCUAAACGAUGCGAACUGGAUGUUGGUCUCACCUCGGAGAUCAGGUGGAAGCUAGCGCGUAAGUCACCGCC
rnacentral:rRNA from 1 species